GUGGUUUCGCAGCUUGUCUCGUUGGUUUUGCGUCCGGGGUUGAUACCUCUAUUGUGUGUUUUUUUUUAUUAUUACUAUAUAUUUUUUUAUUAAUUGCGUUUGGCUGUCAAUACAGAUUGUCUUUUGAGGCUCCAUAUUCACAAUGGACCGGAGUUCGAAAAGACGACAAGUGAAGCCUUUGGCAGCCUCUCUUCUAGAAGCAUUGGAUUAUGAUAGCUCAGAUGACAGUGAUUUUAAAGUUGGAGAUGCUUCAGAUUCUGAAGGCAGUGUUAAUGGCAGCGAUGAUGCAUCCAAGGACAGCGGUGAUGGAUCUAGUAGUGACUCAGAAGGUGAAGUAAUGGAGGAGGAGUUGUCAACAGCUUCAGGAGUGGAAGAUGAGAAAGUAGUUGUAGAGGAAGAUGCACCAAUAUGUGAUCCUCAAAGUGAGGAAAAAGGAGUGGAAGAAACACUAAGUAAAGAUGAAACAAAACAAGAAGACAACGAUGAAAUGUCCCAAAAGAAAAAAGAGACCGUUUUAGAGAAUGAUCUAAGCACAGAAGACCAAACAAAUGAGCCUAAAAAAUGGAAUUUGCGCAGAAACAGACCUAUGUUGGAUUUCAUAACAAUGGAGGAGUUAAAUGCAAUGGAUGAUUAUGAUAGCGAGGAUGAUAAUGACUGGCGGCCUACUGUUGGCAACAAGAAAGGGAAGUUCUCAUCUUAUGGUGAGGGGAGUGACCUGGAUGAUGAAGAGUAUGGCAGUGAGGAUGAUGAAAAUAAUGCAGGCAAUGAAGAAGACAGUGACAGUUCUAGUGACGAGGAAGGAAAGAAAAAGAAAAUAAAACUGCCUAGUAGAAAUAGUGGUGAUGAUGAGGAGUUGACCAAUGAUAGCCUGACACUGUCACAAAGCAAGAGUAAUGAGGACUCUCUAAUUCUUGAAAAAAGUGAAAAAUGGAGUUCUCAGAAAAUGGAUCAUAUAUUAAUAUGUUGUGUUUGUCUUGGGGACAAUAGUGAGGAUGCCGAUGAAAUAAUACAAUGUGACAAUUGUGGUAUCACAGUACAUGAAGGUUGUUAUGGUGUAGAUGGGGAAAGUGACUCCAUCAUGAGCUCUGCUUCUGAAAAUUCUACGGAACCUUGGUUUUGUGAUGCUUGCAAGUGUGGAGUCUCUCCCAGCUGUGAACUUUGCCCUAACCAGGAUGGUAUUUUUAAAGAGACAGAUGCUGGAAGGUGGGUACACAUAGUAUGUGCACUUUAUGUCCCAGGUGUCGCAUUUGGAGACAUUGACAAGUUACGCCCUGUAACCCUAACAGAAAUGAAUUACUCAAAAUAUGGAGCCAAGGAGUGUAGCUUUUGUGAAGAUCCUCGAUUUGCCAGGACCGGCGUCUGUAUCAGCUGUGAUGCAGGGAUGUGCAGAGCUUACUUUCAUGUGACUUGUGCCCAGAAGGAAGGCUUGCUUUCUGAGGCAGCAGCUGAAGAGGAUAUUGCUGAUCCCUUUUUUGCAUAUUGCAAACAACAUGCUGACCGUUUUGACAGGAAAUGGAAAAGGAAAAACUAUCUGGCAUUACAAUCUUAUUGCAAAAUGUCUUUAAAAGAAAGGGAAAAGCACCUAACCCCAGAAGCACAGGCCCGCAUCACCACUAGGUUACAACAAUAUCGUGUGAAGUCUGAGCUUGCUCGCAAUACAAGACCUCAAGCAUGGGUUCCGAGAGAGAAGCUACCACGUCCACUCACCAGCAGUGCAUCAGCUAUACGUAAACUAAUGCGAAAAGCUGAACUGAUGGGGAUUAGCACAGACAUUUUCCCUGUUGAUAAUUCAGACACUACUUCUAGCGUGGAUGGCAGAAGAAAGCAUAAGCAACCUGCUUUGACUUCAGACUUUGUUAACUACUACCUUGAAAGGAACAUGCGAAUGGUGCAGUUGCAAGAAAGCAUGUCAGAACAGAAGAAUAUUAAGGAAAAAUUAGAAAAUGAACAAGAAAAACUCCACAUUGAGUAUAAUAAGCUUUGUGAAGCCUUAGAUGAUCUGCAAAAUGUCAAUAGCAAUUUGAGAAAUGAAGGACAGACAUUAUGGAAUUUUAUGGGGAAGAUCAUUGGACAGAAAACAAACAUACCAGCAAUACUUCGUGCACCAAAAGAGAGAAAGCCAAGUAAGAGAGAGGGCGGAACACAAAAGACCUCAACCUUACCAGCGAUACUGUACAGUUGUGGAAUAUGUAAGAAAAAUAACGAUCAACACCUGCUUCUGCUAUGUGAUACUUGCAAAUUGAAUUAUCAUCUUGGAUGCCUUGAUCCUCCUCUGACAAGGAUGCCUAAAAAAACAAAAAAUAGUUACUGGCAGUGUUCUGAGUGUGACCAGGCAGGCAGCAGUGAUAUGGAAGCAGACUUUGCAAUGGAAACCUUACCAAAUGGAACCAAGAGAUCAAGACGACAGAUAAAAGAGCCCAUUAAGUUUGUAUCUCAAGAUGCACCACAGGAAACUAAAAAGAAUCCUUUGAGAAGCACCAAACAUUGCUAUAGAGGAAGGAGAAAAAGCUUACAAUUGCAUUUUGGACAUUCUGAUGACAUCAAGAAUGAAAAGUCUUCUGCAGAUUCUUCUGUGCAGCCUGAACUUCAACACGACCACUCGCAGCGGAGUGAUCUUUUGUCGAGAACGAGAGGACAAAAACGAAAAAGAAGUUUCAUGCUCGAGGAGGAAAAGCCAGAGGAGCAUGUUCCAAGAGAAAGAAGGCGAAGACAAUCAAUGUCACUGCAUAAAAAGCCCAAAUCAGAUGACUUAAGAACUGAAUGUGCUUCUUGUAAGGGGAGUGGAGAUAAUGAAAAUCUAGUAAGGUGUGAUGAAUGCAGACUGUGCUACCAUUUUGGCUGUCUGGACCCUCCUUUGAAAAAGUCUCCUAAACAGACAGGGUAUGGAUGGAUUUGCCAAGAGUGUGACUCUUCAUCUUCCAAAGGUCUGCAAUGAAUGUUCUAUGAAGAAAGUCUGUCAAAGUGCUGCAGGCUCAUCUCAAUCUGCAGCCAUAAGGAAGAUGAAAAUGAAAAGGAGGAAACAAAAUCGCCACAGCAUCUAAUUCCAGAAACCGAAUAAGUGAACUAAUGAAAGCUAUUCAUGUUAGGCUGAAAGGUCUUUUGUGUUAUGAAACGGUUUCUUUUACACUCAUUAUAAUCUAAAGCAUUUUUCAUGAAGAUAUCAAGAAUAUCUUACAUAUUUACCUUAAAUGACUAAGGAAACAGCCUAUUUUUAGUUUAAAGCCCAUUAUUAUUAGAGAAGAUGAUUGUUAUAGUAAAGAUUUCUUGAGAGAAAGUAGUUUGAGAAACUUGUGUAGAUUAGAAAUUUAUAAUUUUCAAUGUUAUUUGACCGAUUAUGCAACUUUAUUCAUUAUAUAGUGGAUAAAACAUUGUUAUGAUACUAAAAUCAUUUUCAAAAAUGAAAGGAUAGUUAGCUAGGUUUUUUUAAUCUCCUAAUUUGUAGUUGGAAAUUUUUCUUUAGUUAAUAUUAUGUGGUAAACAUCUGCUGUCUACUUAGAUCGAAUUUGUAAAACCAUUAUCUAUAGCUGAUGUUUGAUGGAUCUUCCUUUAUAGCAGUUUUACAUGUUAUGUAUUAACUCUAAAUAGAAUUUAAACUAUGUGUUCAUACUCAAUAUAUGUGCAUGUUUAUAAUGCAAAAAAAUAUAGAUUAUGUACCUGUACUGCAUGCAUGUUUUUUUUUAUAUUUAUGGCUUAUUUUUUAUUAAAAAUAUUGUAAGAAUGUUGUUUAACCAGUAAUAUGCAUUUUGAAUAUAUGUAUACUACAAAACUAAACAACAAUUUCAAUAAAUCAAUAUUUUUUGUUUUUCUUCCUUA